ACGUGGAGCGAUACUGGAGAAAGUAAUGUCGUAGGUGAUACUAGUGUGAAUGUGUUUGAAAGUCUAUGAAUGCGGCGUGAAAUUGCACCAAAUAAUAUUUUAUGUCGUCUCACGGUCCAUCUGAACAGAAUAGGGAUGUCGACUUUUACAAAUGCCGUUACUUAAAGCCAUUGAAAACGCCAUAAUGACCGUAGUUUGUCCGGAGAAAAAUAAACUGAAAGUCUUGGUACGAACCGAUAAGUGGAAGGAAAGAGGCCAAAGGGGCCUAAUUCCAUGUGCUUGGUCCAAUCAAAUUAAGACGACAUUGGACUUCAGCAUCAAUGUGGCUAUCCACUGCGCAGAGGACAGGAAAGAAUGGAAAUUAGUUCUCCGUAAAGGUCACGACCCUAAGCACUGAAGAACACGAUGCAAGGACGAGGAGAUAGCAUAGCCCACAAAGUCCACUGCUGGAUAUAGGUCUCCUCCAAGCUUCACCACAACGAUCGAUCCUGUGCUACCUGUAUCCAGCGGAUUCCGAGAACCUGUUGAAGAUCACAGGAAUCCGCUGGAAGCAGCUAUCAUGGUUCUGGACUGCCCAAUAACGCAACACUGUGCAAGUGUGUAUGUUGAACACUCUGGAACCAAGCCUAUAGGUUGAGGUAGUUUUGACAUUAAUUUUUUUAGUAAUUCGUAGCUUUUAUGACAUUAAUUUUAUACCGAAAUUUUUGUUGUUAUUUAUUUUUUUAUUCUAAGUAUCUGAAAUGUUAUUUUUAAUGAAUGCAAUAUGGAUGUAAUAUCUGAAAUAAAUUUAUAUAUAUAUACCUAAA